GUGUACUUGCAUCUGUGUUAAUUUAUUUAUGUUUAUAUGUGUGAAAUGAAGUCUUCUCUUCCUUAUUCACAUGUUCAGCUCUCCAGGUGCAGAUAAACACAUUAAAGGUCUACAAGUCGUAUAACCAGGCAGAGCUGACUUGUCAGAGCAGUUGUCGUCUACCUGGUCAUCGUCGCUACAUCUGGUACAAGAAUGAACAAAACAUUCAGGGACAAACAUCUAAAUCUUAUUCAGGCCACUUUGAUCCUGCAGACAGAUAUUCAUGUGCUGUAGAAGGAUAUGAGAAGUCCCGCUCUCCUCCACUGUAUGUUCCGAGGUUUGAGCCUGUGUCAGUGAGUCCCUCUGCUGAGAUAGUGGAGAACAGUUCAGUGACUCUGACCUGUAGCAGUGAUGCUAACCCAGCAGUUCAUUAUGUCUGGUACAAGGAGAAUGGAGAUCCAGACCUUCAUCCUCUCAGUAAAGAAAGACAGCUCGUCUUCAGAUCCAUCCAGUCCUCUGACUCUGGAGAGUAUUACUGUACUAUGAGACAUCUGAUGUACUUAUCUAAAUACAUCUCUCUUGAUGUCAAAUAUGCUCCAAGGCUUCCCUCUGUGUCAGUGAGUCCCUCUGCUGAGAUAGUG